AAGUCUGGUAGGACGUUAAAGGCGGCCAACCGUUAGGGACAAGUUGUGAUGGGGAGGGAAAUUUAAGUACCGAAGUUUCUGAUGUCACACUGCCAAGAAAAGCUUCUAGGGAAAAAGACAGCACCCGUACCGCAAACCGACACAGGUAGUUGAGGAGAGAAUCCUCAGGUGAGCGAGCGAACUCUCGUUAAGGAACUCGGCAAAAUGACCCCGUAACUUCGGGAGAAGGGGUGCUGACCGUAUGGUCAGCCGCAGUGAAUAGGCCCAAGCGACUGUUUAUCAAAAACACAGGUCUCUGCAAAAUCGAAAGAUGACGUAUAGGGGCUGACGCCUGCCCGGUGCUGGAAGGUUAAGAGGAGAGGUUAGCCAUUAGGCAACGCUUUGAAUUGAAGCCCCAGUAAACGGCGGCCGUAACUAUAACGGUCCUAAGGUAGCGAAAUUCCUUGUCGGGUAAGUUCCGACCCGCACGAAAGGCGUAACGAUUUGGGCACUGUCUCAACGAGAGACUCGGUGAAAUUAUAGUACCUGUGAAGAUGCAGGUUACCCGCGACAGGACGGAAAGACCCCAUGGAGCUUUACUGCAGUUUGAUAUUGAGUGUUUGUGUGACACGUACAGGAUAGGUAGGAGCCUAGGAAACCGGAACGCCAGUUUCGGUGGAGGCAGUGGUGGGAUACUACCCUUGUAACAUGACCACUCUAACCCGCAUCUCUGAUCGAGAUGGGAGACAGUGUCAGACGGGCAGUUUGACUGGGGCGGUCGCCUCCUAAAGAGUAACGGAGGCGCCCAAAGGUUCCCUCAGAAUGGUUGGAAAUCAUUCGCAGAGUGUAAAGGCAGAAGGGAGCUUGACUGCGAGACAGACAAGUCGAGCAGGGACGAAAGUCGGGCUUAGUGAUCCGGUGGUUCCGCAUGGAAGGGCCAUCGCUCAACGGAUAAAAGCUACCCUGGGGAUAACAGGCUUAUCUCCCCCAAGAGUUCACAUCGACGGGGAGGUUUGGCACCUCGAUGUCGGCUCAUCGCAUCCUGGGGCUGUAGUCGGUCCCAAGGGUUGGGCUGUUCGCCCAUUAAAGCGGUACGCGAGCUGGGUUCAGAACGUCGUGAGACAGUUCGGUCCCUAUCCGUCGCGGGCGUUGGAAAUUUGAGAGGAGCUGUCCUUAGUACGAGAGGACCGGGAUGGACAUACCUCUGGUGUACCAGUUGUCGUGCCAACGGCACAGCUGGGUAGCUAUGUAUGGUUGGGAUAAGCGCUGAAAGCAUCUAAGCGUGAAGCCCCCCUCAAGAUGAGAUUUCCCAUCUUUUUAAAAGAGUAAGAUCCCUGAGAGACGAUCAGGUAGAUAGGCUGGAAGUGGACAUUUAGUGAUAAAUGGAGCGGACCAGUACUAAUCGAUCGAGGACUUAUCCAA
rnacentral:rRNA from 1 species